UACAGAGGGUGCGAGCGUUGUCCGGAAUCACUGGGCGUAAAGCGUGCGCAGGCGGUUGUGCAAGACAGAUGUGAAAUCCCCGGGCUCAACCCAGGAACUGCGUCCGAUACUGGUUGGCUUGAAUCCGGGAGAGGGAUGUGGAAUUCCAGGUGUAGCGGUGAAAUGCGUAGAUAUCUGGAGGAACACCGGUGGCGAAGGCGACAUCCUGGACCGGUAUUGACGCUGAGGCGCGAAAGCCAGGGGAGCAAAGCGGGAUUAGAUGACCCUG
rnacentral:rRNA from 1 species